GUGAGGAAUAUUGGUCAAUGGGCGGGAGCCUGAACCAGCCAAGUCGCGUGAAGGAAGAAGGAUCUAUGGUUCGUAAACUUCUUUUGCAGGGGAAUAAAGUGCAGGACGUGUCCUGUUUUGUAUGUACCCUGAGAAUAAGGAUCGGCUAACUCCGUGCCAGCAGCCGCGGUAAUACGGAGGAUCCGAGCGUUAUCCGGAUUUAUUGGGUUUAAAGGGUGCGUAGGUGGUUUGAUAAGUCAGCGGUGAAAGUUUGCAGCUUAACUGUAAAAAUGCCGUUGAAACUGUCGGACUUGAGUGUAAAUGAGGUAGGCGGAAUGCGUGGUGUAGCGGUGAAAUGCAUAGAUAUCACGCAGAACUCCGAUUGCGAAGGCAGCUUACUAAGCUACAACUGACACUGAAGCACGAAAGCGUGAGGAUCAAACAGGAUUAGAAACCCGUGUAGUCC
rnacentral:rRNA from 1 species